UACAGAGGUCUCAAGCGUUGUUCGGAUUCAUUGGGCGUAAAGGGUGUGUAGGUGGCGCCGUAAGUCGGGUGUGAAAUUUCGGAGCUUAACUCCGAAACUGCAUUCGAUACUGCGGUGCUUGAGGACUGGAGAGGAGACUGGAAUUCAUGGUGUAGCAGUGAAAUGCGUAGAGAUCGGAAGGAACACCAGUGGCGAAGGCGGGUCUCUGGGCCGUAACUGACGCUGAGGAGCGAAAGCGUGGGGAGCGAACAGG
rnacentral:rRNA from 1 species